GCAGCUUGCAUAAGCCAGAGAACAAGGGGUCAGGCUUUAGACAACACAAGGCCGCUUUUUCACCUGAGGUUUCGGCGGUGGAACUGAAUUGCAACCUCAGGGCAAAAAGCGAACAUUUUUGUCUCCUUCAAGUGGGCAGGUUUGUUGCUGGAGGGAGGAGAGUGAGAGCGAGAGCGAGGGAGAGAGCACAAGCAAGCCAGUGGAUGGUGCUGACACAUUAAAAGUGGCAAGGAGGUCAGCAGGUGAAGCUGCCACUGCUGCAUACAAACUCUGUCCAUGUGGCCUCAGCAGCCAAGCAGUGAUGCACCCUGGUGUCAGGGACACUCUUGACUGAGGCCCCAGAAGAAAUGUAAAACCACCUGCUCCCUCAAUCUGGAGCCAGUGAAUCCUCUGUUGCUCAGCUCCAAUCCAUAUAGCUCCGUGGGACACUUGGCUGAGGGUACUCCCUCAGAAACUCAGUGCUACUGAAGAACCACCAGUACCACCACCAGAUCCCCAGAAGUGCCAUUGAUCCUACUGUGUUACAGCAAUGAUCAGGCCACAGACUAACACUGGAAGGAUCUUCUUGUGAGAUAGAGGGAUGGGAUCACCUUGGGAGAUUGACUGAACAGAGCACAGCUGUGAGGAAUCAGACCAAGUAAUAGCAAGAGAAGCAGAGUAUGUUGCCGCAGCUGAAGAAUUCAAGGAAGUGGUAUGGAUACACCAGCUACUAUUGAACUUUGGGAUCGAGGAACCAAAGCCCACAACAAUAUUUUAGGAUAACCAAAGUUGUAUCUCCCAGAUGGAGAAGAUGAAGUCUCGAACUAAGCACAUUCCCAUAAAGUUUCACUAUGUUCAAGAAAGGGAAGAAAAGGGGAUAGUCCAGUUAGAGUUCUGCCCAACAGAAGAGAUGAUGACAGAUGGACUGACAAAGCCAUUGCCUAGAGGCAGAUUCCAGAUGCUUUGUGAGAACAUGGGAAUCGUGAGCAGGCACAACAGGCGAUGCAAAGGGGUGUUGGAAAUGGAGUUCCAGUCCAUCAAACUUUUGCACUGACUAUCCUAAUGACCACUAGGGGCAUUGGGAGUAGAGGUAGUUAGUGAGGGUCUCCUUACCCAUCCCUUCUUGCCUCUACUUUAUGACCCCUGCCUUGACUCCUCAGGUACUUCCUGUGGUGAGUCAGUCCUCUUCUUUUCUUACUAGUGAGAAUGGGAACAAUCUAGAGAGGAGAGCUGGUCUUGUGGUAGCAAGCAUGACUUGUCCCCUUAGCUAAUCAGGGUCUGCCCUGGUUGCAUAUGAAUGGGAGACUUGAUGUGUGAGCAUUGUAAGAUAUUCCCCUCAGGGGACGGACCCGCUCUGGGAAGAGCAGAAGGUUCCAAGUUCCCUCCCUGGCUUCUCCAAGAUAGGGCUGAGAAAGGUUCCUGCCUGCAACCUUGGAGAAGCCGCUGCUAGUCUGUGAAGACAAUACUGAGCUAGGUCGACCAAUGGUCUGACUCAGUAUACAGUAGCUUCCUAUGUUCCUAUCUCUUUCUCUCCCUACCUAUUCAUUAUGUAGCCGAUAGAUAGAAUAGGUCUUUCCUAUUUCAAAUGUACUUCAUCAAUAAAUCAACUUAGU